rnacentral:rRNA from 1 species
UGGGGAAUCUUGGACAAUGGGGGAAACCCUGAUCCAGCGAUGCCGCGUGAGUGAAGAAGGCCUUCGGGUUGUAAAGCUCUUUCACCUACGACGAUAAUGACGGUAGUAGGAGAAGAAGCCCCGGCUAACUCCGUGCCAGCAGCCGCGGUAAGACGGAGGGGGCUAGCGUUGUUCGGAAUGACUGGGCGUAAAGGGCGCGUAGGUUGUUUAUUAAGUUAGAUGUGAAAUCCCUGGGCUUAACCCAGGAACUGCAUUUAAAACUAAUAAACUGGAGUGUGGUAGAGGAAUUUGGAAUUCCGAGUGUAGAGGUGAAAUUCGUAGAUAUUCGGAGGAACAUCUGAGGCGAAGGCGAGAUUCUGGGCCACAACUGACACUGAGGCGCGACAGCGUGGGGAGCAAACAGG